GGCUGGCAAGGGCUCCCUAAUGAGGCUACUGCUCCCAGGGCCUGGCAAACCGUGGUGGCGCAUGUGUCCACCCACCCUGGGAGAGAAAGAAAUCUGAGAAAACAGCUAGCAAAAGGAAGAGUAUAAAAGAGCCACUAACUAAUCCCAUUACCCAGAAAGAACCACUGUUGGCACUUGGGUAUCCCUAGAAUUUUCCAUGCUAAGUCUUUGAGGGGAUAUAAAAUGUCUUCGCCAUCUC